AUUUAUUUAGUAUAAAAAGUACAGCUAGCUUCCAACUAAAAAGUUCAUAAAGAAAUAAAUA
rnacentral:tRNA from 1 species